rnacentral:lncRNA from 1 species
AAAAACUUAAGUGUUACUCAAUCACUUUACAAGCAAUGAAAGGUACAAUAUAAUGUGAUCCGAACAACAUCAACAAGAGAUACAAGAACUGUUAUUUCUAUAAGCAAAUGAUUAAAUUCGCCUACUUCAACUGAUAUGUGGUGAAGCACUUUUUAUUGUUUAACAUUUGAACAUCAGAUCGCAAUUACUUUUAUGUACUUUAAGAAUAACAAUAAUUUUUAGAUUUAUGUUGGCCACAAAUAUUAAAAAUAUUAUUACUCUUUUACAAUUGCUUUUUGUCUAACUUUUUUUCUCAAACAUAUAUACUACAUAAAAUAAACGUUUAUACAAUACACUAAAAAACUCAAAAUGUUAAUCGAAAAUC